AACAAGAGUUGUUCAUUUGGUGGUGUAUAUAUUGCCUAUUUAUAUGUUUUAUUCAACAGACUUUAUAUAUAAAGUUCUUCUAAGUUCUAGCCCACUGAUUCUUUUCUCUUUCCUUCUGUGAACACUGUUGUCUGGAAGGAAGCUGCUACUUAGCCAUGCACCUCUGCAAAUCUUGGAAAGAGUCAAGGAUUCCUGAGGCAAGGAAGUUGGAUAAUGAUGAGCACCAGGCAAGACACAGCUGGCCACUGGAGAGAGAGCCCAGUGUAGGCAGAAGGCCAGAAUGUGCCAACAGGUUCAAGGUGUAAAGGAAGAAAAGCC
rnacentral:lncRNA from 1 species